GUCAGUGUGACUUUUACUUGGUGACUUAAAUAACUGAUGUUUCUUUUUUUUUAACAGUAGCCAUAUCUUUUUACCUGUAUUCUGAAACCACAACUUGGUAGUCAGUUCAGUUCAGUCACUCAGUCAUGUCUGACUCUUUGCGACCCCAUGGACUGCAGCACGCCAGACUUCCCUGUCCAUCACCAACUCCCAGGGCUUGCUCAAACUCAUAUCAGUGAUGCCAGUAUGAAAAGGCAACAUGGUAACUACUACCUAAAAGGAUAAGAAGUAAGUUGAGACUUUUCUCUGGCAGUGCAGUGGCUAAGAAUCUGCCUUCCAAUGCAGGGGAGGCAGGUUCAAUCCCUCAUCAGGGAACUUAGGUCCCACAUGACACCAGGCCAUUAAGCCCGGAGACACAACUAAAGAGAGGCCCGUAUGCCACAAUGUAGACCCAAUGCAGCCAAAAAUAAAAUAAAGAAAGAAAAGAAGUAAGUAAUGAUUGAAAGAAUUCCAGUAGAAGUUAUAGGGAAUUGCCAAAGGAAGAAAGGGGAGAAUAUGCUAAGAAAAAAAGUUAGUAGCCACAGAAAGGGAGAGGCAGAGAAACAGCUGGAGAGUAGCCAAAAAGUACAGGAUAGGAAUCUGUGCUUUCCCCCUCUACUUUUUGGGAACUGGCAACCCCUAGUCAGCUAUACCAACUGGAAGGAAGGAGUGGUGAGGGGAGGGUAUGGAAGGACCUGAGGGUGGAGAAACUGAACCCUUGAGAAAGGAAAAGGAAGGAAAGUGAAACCACGGAGAGAGGAAGUGUGAAGGUUCAAAGGUAUUCCAAGAAUUAGAGAGUCCCUACUAAAGGAAUGGAAAGUGAGCAGAAGGAAGAGAAAUCUGAAUUUAAAAUAGAAAUCGGUCAUCAGAAUAAAAUGUAAAGAAGGCAGCAAGCAGUAAGACCUUUGUUAGAACUUACCUAAGAAUAAAAACCUUAGAUCCUCUAUUAAAUUAUUAUAAAUUAUAGGGACAUAUUUAUACAUCAUAUAAUUAUAAAUAUUAUGUAAUAUAUACACAUAAUUUCCAUGAGAGUUAACUGGAUGCUAUAGUCAGAAUUAGAAUGCAUUCUGGAUUCUACUAACUAUGCUGUUAUGUGAACAGGGAAUGUUGGUUCACUUGACCAACAGUGAAAGCUGAAUGGUUUUUCAAAUUCUCUUCAGAUAUUGCUAUGAUAUCAAAUAUUUUCUUCAAUAAGAUCUUUUCAAUAUCGGUAAAAAUUAUGCUAAAGGGAUCUUUGUUGUUAAAGGAAUCAUUUACAUAAAUGAGUGUUUAGUGAAUGAUACAGAGACAAUCUUUUGGAAGACUUCCCAGGGACCACUUGACAAUUUGUCUCACCAGCCUGUUCAAAUGCUCAGAACCUACCUUACAUGCUUAAGAAGCCAGCUUAUCAGGACCUCCCAUGCUGCUCACUCUAAACUUGAGUGAGCAAACAGGUCUGGCCGGUGUGCCCUAAAGGCCAGCAUUCCUGGGCUUCACCAGACCACCAGGGAAGGGAGCGCUCUGGAGUGGUGAGCUUCCAAAGGAGACUUGAGGGAGUAGAUUUUUACAAAAGAUGUUGAAGGGAGAUAAGAAACCUACUCUGUCCAGUGGAGGAGUCCACAGUUCAGACUCCAACUUUAUUUGUCUUAGUUUCCCACCUACAAUUCUCAAGAAAUGAUCUGUAGGCCAGAAAAUCUCAUAUUAAAAAAUGCUUUUUAAUCCCAGUAAGCUCAUAUUUUGUGAAGCCUUUGUUUCUCAGAUUAAGACGCUAUUAGAACUAUUAGUACUUUUGCCUGGAAAAUCCCAUGGACAGAGGAGCCUGGAAGGCUGCAGUCCAUGAGGGUCACUAAGAGUCAGACACGACUGAGUGACUUCACUUUGACUUUUCACUUUCAUGCAUUGGAGAAAGAAAUGGCAACCCACUCCAGUAUUCUUGCCUAGAGAAUCCCAGGGAUGGGGGAGCCUGGUGGGCUGCCGUCUAUGGGGUCGCACAGAGUCAGACACGACUGAAGCGACUUUGCAGCAGCAGCAGCAGAAACUUAAAGUAGUAACUGAUGGGUAUCUGUGAAUUUUUUUUUUUUUAACUUAGAGUAGAUUGUCUACAUUAGGCAUCCUCCUCUGUAUUAUCCAGGACCUUGCUCAUUGUCAUGUGCACUACAAGCUGCAAUUUGGAAAACUUACUGUGUGAAAUCCUGUCAAUUCUUGGUUCUUGAAGACCAGUGAUCUCUCCCAAACACUGGUGACUGCGGCAUAUUUAGUGUGUAAGAGGCCACCGAGGCCGAAGAUUUUUAAAAAUUAUUGUACAAAUUCUUAUGUUAAACUAUCUAAGCUCUGCUGUAGGGAAAAAAAAAAUGCUUUUUAAUAUGCUGUCCAUGUUUGUCAUAGCUUCCCAGUUUCCCAUCCUCUUCUUUGUACAGAGUACCAAGGAUUCUUCCCAUCAUUCACAAAAAAGGAGAAAGCUGUUUCUGAAGCUGAGAAACCCCAAGGAAAUAGAAAUCUCAUGAAGACACAGAAAAUGGAGUUAUGAAAAUAAUCAUUGUUAUGCUCCUAGUGCCUACUACGUGGCUUGGACUUCCAAACUUCAUCUCCAAUCUUUACAACAUUAUGUGGUUUCCAAUGUUCAGUUUAUAGGGAAGAAAACAGAGGUUCAGAAAAGUUAGGUGGCUUACCAACAGUACACACUGCACAGGACACUUCCAAGAAUAGUAACUCUUGGAACAAUGCCAUGGUCUUUCUGUCUCCAACAUCUUUUUCUGGAGUAAGAAAACCUAGAAAAGCAAGGAAGGGCAGUGGUCAUUCCUUAAGUCAUCAGUAAUUCCAAC
ensembl:lncRNA